AACCCAGCCCACCUGCUUGGAGUUUAUAAACCAGGUCUUGAUAGUGAGAACUGAGCAGCUCCAAACAGCCAGGGGUAGCAAGAUGGAGUCGCAGACCCAGGUUCUCAUGUCCUUGCUUCUCUGGGUGUCUGGUGCCUGUGCAGAUAUCAUGAUGACUCAGUCUCCAACCUCUUUGGCUGUGUCAUCAGGAGGCAAGGUCACCAUCACCUGCAAGUCCAGUCAGAGUCUUUUGCACAGUGCAAAUCAGAAGAACUACUUGGCCUGGUACCAGCAGAAACCAGGGCAGUCUCCUAAACUGCUGAUCUACUUAGCAUCUACUCGGCACACUGGGGUUCCUGAUCGCUUCACAGGCAGUGGGUCUGGGACAGAUUUCACUCUCACCAUCAGUAGUGUCCAGGCUGAAGACAUGGGAGAUUAUUACUGUUUGCAAGGUCUUAGUAGUCCUCCCACAGUGAUUCAGCCUCCAACAAAAUCCUCCUCUGAGAGUCUUACCACCUGCCUGCAGCACAAACAGCCCUGGACUGCAUACUUCCCCUUUCUGCGUGAGCGUCAAAAUACUCAUGAAAUACUCACGAAAAUGUUUGCAGAGCUUGGCAAAAUGAUGGGUUCAAUGUCUCUUAUGUCUUUUGGUAUGAAAAAUAUUCAUACAAAUGUGAAAAGUACAACUCAGUGUUAA